rnacentral:lncRNA from 1 species
GACCCCCGGGACCCCUCCCCAAUUCCGGGAACCCCCCCAGGGGGUGUCCGGCGGCGGGGGGAGCGCUCGGGCCUCAGUUUCUCCCUGCGCAUGAAGAGCACCCUGAGCGGCCGCGGGCGCUGCCUCAACCUGAAAGCGGCGUCCUGGAAGGUGCGGGGGGAUUUGGGGGGAAUUUGGGGGAUUUUGGGAAAAUUUGGGGGAUUUGGGGAUUUUGGGGACGUUUGGGGACAUUUCGGGGAUGUUUUGGGGGCAUUUCAGGAUAUUUUGGGAUAUUUUGGGAUAUUUGGGGAUAUUUUUGGGGAUAUUUUGGGAUAUUUUGGGGAUAUUUUGGGAUAUUUGGGGAUAUUUUGGGGAUAUUUUUUGGGGAUAUUUCGGGAUAUUUUGGGGAUAUUUUCGGGAUAUUUGGGGAGGAUCCCAGGGGAGAAUUCCGGGGGAAUUUCGGGAAUUUUCGGGAGGUUUCCGGGCGGGAUUUUGGGGGGAUUUUGGGUGAAUUUGGGGCUGAUUUUGGAGGUGAAUUUGGGGUGUUUUCAGGGGUGAUUUUGGGUGGUUUUGGGGUGAUUUCGGGGCUCCCUGCAGGUGCUGCACUGCGUGGGGUGAUUUUGGGUGUGAUUUUGGGGUGUUUUUGGGGUGGAUUUGGGGUAAUUUUGGGUGUGAUUUGGGGGUAAUUUUGGGGUGUUUUCGGGUGUGUUUUUGGGUGUGAUUUUGGGUGUUUUUAGGGUGAAUUUUGGGUGUUUUUGGGGUGAUUUGGGGUGUUUUCAGGGCUCCCCCAGGUGCUGCACUGCACGGGGUGAUUUUGGGGGUGUUUUUAGGGUGUUUUUGGGUGUUUUUGGGUGAAUUUUGGGUGGUUUUGGGGUGUUUUGGGGUAUUUCUGGGUGAAUUUUGGGUGUUUUUGGGUGAAUUUUGUGUGUUUUUGGGGUGUUUUUGGGUGAAUUUUGUGUGUUUUUGUGUGAAUUUUGGGUGUUUUUGUGUGUUUUUGGGUGAUUUGGGGCUCCCCCAGGUGCUGCACUGCGCCGGGCACAUGCGCACGUACUCGGGGCCGGGCUCGGGGCCCGUGCGGUGCCUGGUGCUGAUCUGCGAGGCCAUCGCCCACCCCGGAGCCAUCGAGGCCCCGCUGGGCUCGGGCACCGUCCUCACCCGACACUCCAUGGACAUGAAAUUCACCUACUGCGACGACAGGCGGGCACCCCAAACCCCAAAAUCCCAAAUCCUGACCCCAAAUCCUGACCCCAAAAUCCCAAAUCCUGACCCCAAACCCCAAAUCCUCACCCGACACUCCAUGGACAUGAAAUU